AGAGAAUACUGUAUCUCAGUGGUAGAGCAUGUGCCUUGCAUGUAGAAGGUCCCAGGUUUAAUCCCUGGCAUCUCUA